rnacentral:rRNA from 1 species
UGCAAGUCGAACGGUAACAGGAAACAGCUUGCUUGUUUCGCUGACGAGUGGCGGACGGGUGAGUAAUGUCUGGGAAACUGCCUGAUGGAGGGGGAUAACUACUGGAAACGGUAGCUAAUACCGCAUAACGUCGCCAAGACCAAAGAGGGGGACCCUCGGGCCUCUUGCCAUCGGAUGUGCCCAGAUGGGAUUAGCUUGUUGGUGGGGUAACGGCUCACCAAGGCGACGAUCCCUAGCUGGUCUGAGAGGAUGACCAGCCACACUGGAACUGAGACACGGUCCAGACUCCUACGGGAGGCAGCAGUGGGGAAUAUUGCACAAUGGGCGCAAGCCUGAUGCAGCCAUGCCGCGUGUAUGAAGAAGGCCUUCGGGUUGUAAAGUACUUUCAGCGGGGAGGAAGGGAGUAAAGUUAAUACCUUUGCUCAUUGACGUUACCCGCAGAAGAACACCGGCUAACUUCCGUGCCAGCAGCCCGCGGUAAUACGGAGGGUGCGAGCGUUAAUCGGAAUUACUGGGCGUAAAGCGCACGCAGGCGGUUUGUUAAGUCAGAUGUGAAAUCCCCGGCUCAACCUGGGAACUUGCAUCUGAUACUGGCAACUUGAGUCUCGUAGAGGGGGGUAGAAUUCCAGGUGUAGCGGUGAAAUGCGUA